rnacentral:rRNA from 2 species
CAAGGCUUGACAUAUACCGGAAAGCAUUAGAGAUAGUGCCCCCCUUGUGGUCGGUAUACAGGUGGUGCAUGGCUGUCGUCAGCUCGUGUCGUGAGAUGUUGGGUUAAGUCCCGCAACGAGCGCAACCCUUGUCCUGUGUUGCCAGCAUGCCCUUCGGGGUGAUGGGGACUCACAGGAGACCGCCGGGGUCAACUCGGAGGAAGGUGGGGACGACGUCAAGUCAUCAUGCCCCUUAUGUCUUGGGCUGCACACGUGCUACAAUGGCCGGUACAAAGAGCUGCGAUGCCGCGAGGCGGAGCGAAUCUCAAAAAGCCGGUCUCAGUUCGGAUUGGGGUCUGCAACUCGACCCCAUGAAGUCGGAGUUGCUAGUAAUCGCAGAUCAGCAUUGCUGCGGUGAAUA